rnacentral:rRNA from 1 species
UACAGGGGGUGCAAACGUUGCUCGGAAUCAUUGGGCGUAAAGCGCACGUAGGCGGUCUGUUAUGUCGGAUGUGAAAAGCCCUUGGCUCAACUGAGGAAGUGCAUCCGAAACUGGCAGGCUAGAGUACUAAAGAGGAUCGCGGAAUUCCCGGUGUAGAGGUGAAAAUUCGUAGAUAUCGGGAGGAACACCGGUGGCGAAGGCGGCGAUCUGGGUAGAUACUGACGCUGAGGUGCGAAAAGCGUGGGGAGCAAACAGGG